UACGGGGGGGGCAAGCGUUGUUCGGAAUUACUGGGCGUAAAGGGCUCGUAGGCGGCCAACUAAGUCAGACGUGAAAUCCCCAGGCUCAACCUGGGAACUGCGUCUGAUACUGGAUGGCUUGAAUUCGGGAGAGGGAUGCAGAAUUCCAGGUGUAGCGGUGAAAUGCGCAGAUAUCGGGAGGAACACCUAUGGCGAAGGCAGCUCGCUGGGACGUUACUGACGCUGAGACGCGAAAGCGUGGGGAGCAAACAGG
rnacentral:rRNA from 1 species